UCACUUCAUUCAGGCCAAAGAACCAAGAGGCUGGCAAACUAAUCUCCUUUUGCUCAAAAUCAAAACAAUCGUUUGGCAAAAAGACGAUUCGCUUUCAGCGCAGCGAAUUUGGAACUAUCUGCUGUAUAACACUAAUUUCGACUGUUCGAUCAUCCUGUCGAUUUGGGUGUCAUUUGAACGGCGUCUCUGUCUGUCUGUACCAAGAUUUGGGCUACCUUUGGCAGUCUGCGGUUCCAAAGCGCCACGUUCCCUGUGUUUACGAUAAUGUUGGAAUCGAUUGGAAGCUCCUUCUUCGAUUUAUACCGCGAAUACGAUGGCGAAACCAAAGAAUUAUUUGCAAUGUCCAGUCCAGAACUACUAUGAUUGCAAAUCAUUGCCCAAGAAAUAAAACAAAAUUGAUUGCUACAUUAUUUUGUACCAAGGCAAACACAGCCACGGAGGAGACACAGAGAUUCUUUAGAAAUCAGUGGGCUUCAGUGAAUACUGCAGUGUACUUACAUGCAGAAGCUGUUCUAAGGGAAAAGCAGGAGAUCAUAAAUUAUGUAUAAUACACUAUAUGUUAACACAUGAGCAGUAAUCAUUUCAGUAGUUAUUUUCUUGCCACCACUUAAACCCAAAUAGUUUACAAGGUAUGUACAGGCAUGCAGGUCGGGUGGCCACACGGGUUGUGACCCUCACUCAAUCAACAAAAAGCAGUGUGCUUUUUAAAUAUACUUAUUUUUCCAUAAUA